rnacentral:rRNA from 1 species
GAUGAACGCUGGCGACGUGCCUAAUACAUGCAAGUAGAACGUUGAAGCUUGGUGCUUGCACCGAGCGGAUGAGUUGCGAACGGGUGAGUAACGCGUAGGUAACCUGCCUCUUAGCGGGGGAUAACUAUUGGAAACGAUAGCUAAUACCGCAUAAAAGUCGAUAUCGCAUGAUAUUGAUUUGAAAGGUGCAAUUGCAUCACUAAGAGAUGGACCUGCGUUGUAUUAGCUAGUUGGUGAGGUAACGGCUCACCAAGGCGACGAUACAUAGCCGACCUGAGAGGGUGAUCGGCCACACUGGGACUGAGACACGGCCCAGACUCCUACGGGAGGCAGCAGUAGGGAAUCUUCGGCAAUGGGGGCAACCCUGACCGAGCAACGCCGCGUGAGUGAAGAAGGGUUUCGGAUCGUAAAGCUCUGUUGUAAGAGAAGAACGAGUGUGAGAGUGGAAAGUUCACACUGUGACGGUAACUUACCAGAAAGGGACGGCUAACUACGUG